rnacentral:rRNA from 1 species
GACGAACGCUGGCGGCGUGCCUAAUACAUGCAAGUCGAACGAAGCUGUUUUAACUGGUGCUUGCACCGACUUAAACAACUGAGUGGCGAACGGGUGAGUAACACGUGGGUAACCUGCCCCAAAGCGGGGGAUAACAUUUGGAAACAGAUGCUAAUACCGCAUAACCACAGAAACCACUUGGUUUCUGUGUCAAAGAUGGUUUCGGCUAUCACUUUGGGAUGGACCCGCGGCGUAUUAGCUAGUUGGUAAGGUAAUGGCUUACCAAGGCAAUGAUACGUAGCCGAACUGAGAGGUUGAUCGGCCACAUUGGGACUGAGACACGGCCCAAACUCCUACGGGAGGCAGCAGUAGGGAAUCUUCCACAAUGGACGAAAGUCUGAUGGAGCAACGCCGCGUGAGUGAAGAAGGUUUUUGGAUCGUAAAACUCUGUUGUCAGAGAAGAACGUGUGCGAGAGUAACUGCUCGUGCAGUGACGGUAUCUGGCCAGAAAGCCACGGCUAACUACGUGCCAGCAGCCGCGGUAA